rnacentral:rRNA from 1 species
AGUGAACGCUGGCGGUAGGCCUAACACAUGCAAGUCGAACGGCAGCACAGUAAGAGCUUGCUCUUACGGGUGGCGAGUGGCGGACGGGUGAGGAAUACAUCGGAAUCUACUUUUUCGUGGGGGAUAACGUAGGGAAACUUACGCUAAUACCGCAUACGACCUACGGGUGAAAGCAGGGGAUCUUCGGACCUUGCGCGAUUGAAUGAGCCGAUGUCGGAUUAGCUAGUCGGCGGGGUAAAGGCCCACCAAGGCGACGAUCCGUAGCUGGUCUGAGAGGAUGAUCAGCCACACUGGAACUGAGACACGGUCCAGACUCCUACGGGAGGCAGCAGUGGGGAAUAUUGGACAAUGGGCGCAAGCCUGAUCCAGCCAUACCGCGUGGGUGAAGAAGGCCUUCGGGUUGUAAAGCCCUUUUGUUGGGAAAGAAAAGCAGCAGGUUAAUACCCCGCUGUUCGGACGGUACCCAAAGAAUAAGCACCGGCUAACUUCGU